UUAUGUCCGGUAUGCAAUUAUCGGUGAACAUAUAAUACGUGGAUGAUGUCACUUCCGCCAAGUCACUUCCUGUUGGUUGACUUCCGGUAUUCGUCCGAAAGCAAGUCGUACAAGUUGCUGUCCUCUGUAAUCAUAUCUGUUGCCAUCCUACACAAAGCAACACCAGCAGCAUGUGUACUUGACCCGAGUGCCUCGCUGGGAGAGAUUUGCCAGUGGAGCCCCCACCGGCACGACACCUUCCCUCAGAAAGGGUGGUCCUAAAGACGUAGGCAUUUUCCGGAGGUACCAAGAAGAUCACACACAACAAAAGAGGAGCGAGGGAGAAAAAGCUGUUUCCAGCCAAGCUGUUCUCAUUCUUCUUCGCUUCCGGUCCAGUGGAAGAGUUGAUGAAGUUUAAAUGAAGCAGAAUCAGGAGAUCAAGCGUACACGGGAGCUGGUGUGGAUGCUAUCCACCGGGGAGAGAACCAGGGAGGGGACAAGUGACCUGGAUGAAAUUGAGAGAAAGAAAAACCCGCGGAGGAGGAAAAAGGAGCAGGAGGCGAGAAAGGAGGAUGCUAUCACGUUACCUCAUGCUACAGAGGUUCGUCGAUGAUGGGUGUCCUUCGUCGCGCCGUCGAUCGCUGGAACCUUGAGAUGAAUGAG